CAACCAUUUGUAUAGUUUCCUCUAAUUUCAUUUAAACCCCUCUCAAACUGAGGACCAGGUUUCAAGGUUGGACGAACUGUGAGUAAAAGCUCUUAAACAGUUUUAGCCUAGACUUACUGAGAACAAUCUCACGACAGUCAUAACGGCUCCUUGUAAAACCCCAUCAAUUCAAGGUUCAGAACCAUCAUAGCCAUCCCCUGCUAAUUCUCCCCUGUUUCUUUUGUUUAUGUUUAAAGUCUUGAAGAUAUGGACCGAUCUUCUUUUACAAGCCUCUAUAAUUCUCGCUACAUUAUUCAUGUUCCUCGCCGUGCACGAUAUCUCCAGAAAGAUCUUCGCCAAAAUCCACUACCGGAAUCGCGCUGACUUCCUAGCUAAGCGCCACUUCGUCGUCGGUACUCAGCUCCUCGCUCAAGCUCGAUCGUCGGCCAACUCUUUAGCAAAACAAGCCGAAUCCGAAGCUGACAAAGCCGUUUCUCUUGACCCAAAAGACGCCGCUCCUUACACCCACAAAGCCUUCGCCGUUGGUCUCCAGGGAUUCAAGACCUCCGCUCUCCAUUCCCUCAACGUCGCCCUUUCCCCUCUCACUGCCAAGUCGUUGACUGGUAAAGAAUGAGGCGACGCGCUGUUUAAACGAGCCGAGUUGAAGAUGGCCUUGAACCGACGCGGCAACCGAGUCAACUCAAUAAUCGACGAUUUGACUGAGGCUGUAGAGUUGAGUUCGGAUAACGUGAAGGUGUUUUGUUUGUUAGGGAAGUGUUAUGAAAUGAAGAAGAUGAAAUCAGAAGCUAAAGCGGCUUUCGAGGAGGCACUUAAAACAGAGCCUAGCUCUUACGUCGCACGCGCUGCCCUUCACCGGUUGCGCAGGCACUUUGUGCUUCCGGUUUAGUUUAGCAAACCAUGACGGUAGAGGGCUCUGUUCGCAGCCAAUUUGCCUAAAUCACGGACAUUUCAAGCGUCUUUGGAGAGCUUGAAUCCGACUUGCUCGUCGCGAGGGAUGAACAUUAGUGUUCCAUUUUCUGCUGAAACAUUCAGAGGAAAUUGACGAUGGAUCUGCUGGUGCAUACUUGCCUGCUCGAAGGAAAAGAAAAACUCAGUCAGAACUCGAAAGCAGUGGAUAUUUAAACUUAUUGCAGGUGCGCAGAAAUGUGGUGCCAGACUUGACUUGAGAACUUUGAUUUGCAUUGAUCUUAAGUCCAUGAAUGGAGAACGACAGAAUCAACAGACAAUAAUCAUAGAAACAUUUCUUAGUUCUACAUUAGAAUUAUGAUACAAGAUCAAAGGAAUUCUAAA